UGGGGAAUAUUGCACAAUGGGCGCAAGCCUGAUGCAGCCAUGCCGCGUGUAUGAAGAAGGCCUUCGGGUUGUAAAGUACUUUCAGCGGGGAGGAAGGGAGUAAAGUUAAUACCUUUACUCAUUGACGUUACCCGCAGAAGAAGCACCGGCUAACUCCGUGCCAGCAGCCGCGGUAAUACGGAGGGUGCAAGCGUUAAUCGGAAUUACUGGGCGUAAAGCGCACGCAGGCGGUUUGUUAAGUCAGAUGUGAAAUCCCCGGGCUCAACCUGGGAACUGCAUCUGAUACUGGCAAGCUUGAGUCUCGUAGAGGGGGGUAGAAUUCCAGGUGUAGCGGUGAAAUGCGUAGAGAUCUGGGGGAAUACCGGUGGCGAAGGCGGCCCCCUGGACGAAGACUGACGCUCAGGUGCGAAAGCGUGGGUAGCAAACAGG
rnacentral:rRNA from 1 species